CCUGCGGGUGGCUGCAGUGGGGAAUAUUGGACAAUGGGCGAAAGCCUGAUCCAGCCAUGCCGCGUGUGUGAAGAAGGCCUUCGGGUUGUAAAGCACUUUCAGUGGGGAAGAAAGCCUUGGGGCUAAUACCCUCGAGGAAGGACAUCACCCACAGAAGAAGCACCGGCUAACUCCGUGCCAGCAGCCGCGGUAAUACGGAGGGUGCGAGCGUUAAUCGGAAUUACUGGGCGUAAAGCGCGCGUAGGCGGUCUGAUAAGCCGGUUGUGAAAGCCCCGGGCUCAACCUGGGAACGGCAUCCGGAACUGUCAGGCUAGAGUGCAGGAGAGGAAGGUAGAAUUCCCGGUGUAGCGGUGAAAUGCGUAGAGAUCGGGAGGAAUACCAGUGGCGAAGGCGGCCUUCUGGACUGACACUGACGCUGAGGUGCGAAAGCGUGGGUAGCAAACAGGAUUAGAUACCCCAGUAGUC
rnacentral:rRNA from 1 species